CUUCCAUUUCCCAGAGAGGCCAGAGGCAGAGGGGUGCAGAAGAGAGAGCAGAGCCCCUUUGCCUGGGCACAUCUGGGCUCACUACAUGGGAAAGGGCCCCAGGACAAGGGAAGACGAGAAGAGACAGGCCAGGCCCAAGGAGGGAGAGGACCUGAGAUCGAAGAUAGGAGAGAGGAAGACAAGAAGGAGAAGCAGAAAUGAGAAGGUGAAUGAGCAAACAGCACAGAAAAAGAAACAGCAGUAUAUGUGGAAGAAAGCAAGAAAAAUCAACUGGCCUGGAACCUAAGACUUGUCCAAAGAUGUCACAGAGAGUAAAAUGAGAAAAAUCCAGUAGCCCGUGCCCAGAGCAGUUCCUCGUACCCAGUGAGUACUCCAUCAGUAGUGACUGAGAGACUGAAUGAAUAUUUUGCAGGAGGGAGGUGGUGUUGAAUGCCAGAAAAAGUAGCAAGGAUGUCAAAACAGAAAUGGAGGGUGUGGUGGCGACAGUGGCUUUGGUCAUGGGACAUUUGAGGGAGUCAAGU
rnacentral:lncRNA from 10 species